rnacentral:rRNA from 1 species
CUUGGUCAUUUAGAGGAAGUAAAAGUCGUAACAAGGUCUCCGUUGGUGAACCAGCGGAGGGAUCAUUACAGAGUUGCAAAACUCCCCAACCCAUUGUGAACCUACCUCACCGUUGCUUCGGCGGGUGGCCCUCUCCGGGGCCGCGCUGGCCCCCCCGGGGGUCGGCAACCCGUCAGAGGACUGAAACUCUUAGUAACCACUGGCCUCUCUGAGUAACUUAUACAAUAAGUCAAAACUUUCAACAACGGAUCUCUUGGUUCUGGCAUCGAUGAAGAACGCAGCGAAAUGCGAUACGUAAUGUGAAUUGCAGAUUUCAGUGAAUCAUCGAAUCUUUGAACGCACAUUGCGCCCGCUAGUAUUCUGGCGGGCAUGCCUGUUCGAGCGUCAUUUCAACCAUCAAGCCCCCGGCUUGCGUUGGAGCCCUGCGGCUGCCGCAGGCUCCCAAAUACAGUGGCGGGCUCGUCGUCGUACCGAGUGCAGUAAACAUCCUCGCUCAGGGAACGCGUCGGGUUCUUGCCGUGAAACCCCCCCAUAUUAAGGUUGACCUCAGAUCAGGUAGGAAUACCCGCUGAACUUAAGCAUAUCAAUAAGCGGAGGA